rnacentral:rRNA from 1 species
AUUGAACGCUGGCGGCAUGCCUUACACAUGCAAGUCGAACGGCAGCGGACCUUCGGGUGCCGGCGAGUGGCGAACGGGUGAGUAAUAUAUCGGAGCGUACCUUUCAGUGGGGGAUAACGUAGCGAAAGUUACGCUAAUACCGCAUAUUCUGUGAGCAGGAAAGCAGGGGAUCGCAAGACCUUGCGCUGAUUGAGCGGCCGAUAUCAGAUUAGCUAGUUGGUGAGGUAAAGGCUCACCAAGGCGACGAUCUGUAGCGGGUCUGAGAGGAUGAUCCGCCACACUGGAACUGAGACACGGUCCAGACUCCUACGGGAGGCAGCAGUGGGGAAUUUUGGACAAUGGGCGCAAGCCUGAUCCAGCCAUGCCGCGUGAGUGAAGAAGGCCUCGGUUGUAA